AUGUAAAAAUAUUAGACAUCAAGACAGAUGUGAACGUUUUCAAUAACAGGCCCUGUCUGUCAGUCUUCCUCAGAGCCGAAGAUCUUGCUGUACUCACUCAACAUAAGUUCAACUAUCUGAUUUUGGUACAGCAUGUGGACUGCCAUGUUCCCUGUCUCCUUUUCAGGUCUAAGGAGUGUUGGUCCAAACACAAUUCCUAAGCUUUGUGUUGACAUAAGAUUCACGGAUUCCUUGGCUGCUAUCCUCUGUGGAUGUUCAAAAAGGAUUUUCAUUGUGUCAUGGUUUGGUCUAGGGAGCUUUUUUACCAGGCUCCUUAUGGAUUUGAUGCGAGUGGUGUUGUCCUGGAUUUCUA